GCUUGCCUUUAUAGAGUAGCAGUCCAUUAUUGCAAGAGUAACCCAGGGUGAGAUUUCUCAUCAAUUGAUAAAAGAGAAAUUAACUCAACAGCAUGAACAUCUCCCUCGUAACUAGCAAUCAGUUGAGACAUCCAAGUAGGUUGAACAACGGACUGAAGUGCAAAAAUUUCCCCUUCUUCAAUAGCAGGUUUACUGGAUAGGGCAUCUUCCACUUUAUUUUCUAGCCCUUUUCUAUAAAGAAUGGUGUAUUGUAGUCCCAGUAGCUUAG
rnacentral:misc_RNA from 1 species